GACGAACGCUGGCGGCGUGCUUAACACAUGCAAGUCGAGCGGUAAGGCCCUUUCGGGGGUACGACGAGCGGCGAACGGGUGAGUAACACGUGGGUGACCUGCCCUCAGCUCUGGGAUAAGCCUGGGAAACCGGGUCUAAUACUGGAUAUGACUCCAUGACGCAUGUUGUGGGGUGGAAAGCCUUGUGCGGCUGAGGAUGGGCCCGCGGCCUAUCAGCUUGUUGGUGGGGUGANGGCCUACCAAGGCGACGACGGGUAGCCGGCCUGAGAGGGCGACCGGCCACACUGGGACUGAGACACGGCCCAGACUCCUACGGGAGGCAGCAGUGGGGAAUCUUGCGCAAAUGGGCGAAAAGCCUGACGCAGCGACGCCGCGUGAGGGAUGACGGCCU
rnacentral:rRNA from 1 species